UGUUUGUUUGUUUUACAUAUACUUGUUUCCUUUGUGCAUGUCAGGGGUACCCGCCAUAUGCAUGUGGGGGUUACAGGACAACCUUGUGGAGUCAGUUCUCUCCUUUCCAGGGGUCAAACUCAUAUCAUCAAACGCUAUUACCCAGUAAGCCAUAUCACCAGGCCCCUUUGAUAAGUUUUUAAGAAAAACAGAUAUUGGGAAAGAUGAACUUCAGUAAAACCUUUUCUUUUGAAACUGGUGAGUGGGAUUUCAAAGGCAAUCUUGGUUUCCUAAGUAUGCCCAAUGGGCACAUCUACUAUUUGGAUUCUCAUAUCUUUGAUAGCUUUCUCAAGCAGCUAAAACCCUCACAAAUUCCAACUAUUGGGAGAAGAAAACUCCUUCAAUUUAAAGAUUGACUUAUGAUGUAUAAAUUGAUGUAUAAAGGUAUAAAUUAAGUUUAAAUUUAAAGAAGCAUGUUCUUUCAUUUUACAUUCAAGGCAAACUUUGUUUUUUUUUUUCUUUGAGACAGGGUUUCUCUGUGUAGUUUUGGUGCCUGUCCUGGAUCUCGCUCUGUAGAGCAGGCUGGCCUUGAAGUCACCCAGAUCCACAUGGCUCUGCCUCCCGAGUGCUGGGAUUAAAGGCAUGCACCACCACUGCCCGGCUCAAGGCAAAUUUUUAAAAAGGGAGAAUGGAAGAGAGAAGAAAAGUAGGGAGGGAGAGAAGGAGAGGGAGGAAGGGAGGGGGCUAGUGGUCCUUAAGGGACAUUUAAAAAAUGCUGUCUAGAGAUACACUGAGUUUGUCCAAUUACCAUAAAUCUCUCCUACCCAAGACUCUCUCAAAGAACUCUGGCCCUGCUCUCCCAUAGGUUCCAGGACUGGCUACCACUGAACUUUAGUGUGACUCAGUGUCCCAAGAAGCAUCUUCCUUCUCUCAUGAGGCUCCUUGCUUUGGCUGCAUAGGGCUGGGACCUGCCCUCUCCUUUCAAAACAGAGAGUUUGGAAGAGCAUUCCUGUGCUGUUAUGACACCACUGGUCUGGAUCCUCUGCUGCUGCGCCUUCAGGCCGUCUGGGUCCUGCCACAGCUGCAAAACCCCAGGUAAGCUGCAGACCCUGUGAAGCUGUGGAAUGACAUCAAAUGAGAUUCAUCUGAAAAACCUACGACGAAAAAGGAAGAAAAAGGAAGGGCAGAUGCAGGAAGGACAAACAGACCGAUGCCAAUGAAAGGCACUUGAGCUCUGUCAGCUCUCAAGAGACUUCAGGGGUCAUUUAGUCAGUCUUCCAGUAAGACAUAAAUCCUAUCAGUGACGCUCUUGUCUCAGAACCAGAAAUGUUUCCAGAGAGGACUGGCCCAUGGGACAGUGACCAGAGAGGAAAAGAUCCACCCUCAAUACGGUGGGACCCUCAAAAGGGCAAACUGCCCAGAUGAUGAAGGUAAGUAUAGAGAAGGCAGCCCUCCAGCCAGCAAGUUUCUUUCUGCUCCAAGUGAUACCACCUACUGCUACUGAUGCCCACUGACAUCAGACUGAUUCUUCAGCUCUUCAAUACUGAUUCAUUGAAUACCGCAACUUUGCAGGAAACUUCCAAACUUCCGUGUUGUAUUGAGACUACUCAGGCAUCCUUGGGAACCUCAUUCUCUGCCUCUUCAGUGUGCAGACGGCUAUUGGUGGACUACCCAGCCUCUAUCCAAUCCAAUAAAUCCCCUUUAUAACAUA